rnacentral:lncRNA from 1 species
AUCCAAUAGGAAUACAUUCUCACUCUUAUUGAGAGCUUCUCUCUCACCGUAGAGUUUUCCUCCUCCUUGUAUUUUCAAGUUUCAAAUUUUUAAACUCCAAAAAUCCAAAUUUCAAAAGUGUCAAAAUGCCAACCUACAACAACAAUACCCAACAACACAAGCUUUGAAUUUUAGUAUUUACUAUCCGAAUUCAUUUACUAGCACAUGUGUUAUCUGAGACAAGCUUUAGGGUUCAGGAAUGCUCAUCCAGUUGGGACAGCUUGAGUCAUAAAAUGACCACUAAUGACCACUUUUCUUUUGCUUAGCUUUUCUUCUUUCUUUUCUGCAUUUUUCAAACACUCUGAUCAUAAUUAUCACUGAAAACAUGCUUCCUUGAUAUUUAACCCGCAGGUUUAAUCAAGUGUUUCAUACAUGGAAGGAUCUAUCAAGAAAUACUAUCAACCCAAGCAAUGAU